AGAUUCCUGCCUUUCACAGUGUGUAUCUGUGAAAUUUCCAAAAGAACAGCAGGCUUUCUCAAGUAAUGAUUUCAAGAUGCCAGGUGGUGCAAGAAUCUCAUUCAACUGUGUGGAUUCCUCUCUUUCAUCUCUGAAAAACUGCCAGUCUUACAUAAAUACUGGAAUGGAUAUUGCUACUCAUGUUGCCCUUGACCUUGUGGAAAGCUUCAAUGAUGUAGAGGAUGUUAACAGUAUGGAAAAUGUUAUGUUAGAAUAUGCUGCAAUGGACAGAGAACUUAAUCAUUAUAUGAGAGCAAUUGAAGAAACGGUGAAUCAGGUAAA